rnacentral:lncRNA from 1 species
GGUUGGCCCGCCACGGCCACGGUCACUCGGCCACUCGGAGCUGCACGGGGUUGAGAGAGCCGGCUCUAGGGUUUGGGCUAGGAACCGAAGAGAAGUUUUCUGGAGACGGGUCGCACCGGGAGUGAGGGAGGCACAGCAUCACCCGCCGCCCUGCUGGGAGGAGGCCGCCACCCUCCGCGGCGAACUGCCGACCCGAAGCGUUUGAGAGGAGAAAGCUGCGCUUCGAGACUGGAUGCGUCAGCAUUUCUUCCGCGCGGCGCGGCGAGCGCGUGGUCCGCGUGCGAGCAAACCCCCUGCAAACGCAGGCGGGCUGAUGCUUCUAGCUGGAGUUAAACAGUUAGCUAUCACUAGGAGUAAAAGCAAGAUUGGGCGAUCCCAUGUAAGGAAAGCAAAAUCUGGGGCGUUUAGUAGCUUUAAUUGUAAGGUGUAAAGACAUUUGAAUUGCUGGGGGAAGCCCCCUGUGUAACGUUCAGAGCUGUGAGUCACUGUGCCUAUUUUCCAUUGUUUAUCAGGGUACUCACCAAUCCACCAACUAAAGUGAGUACCACGGAGCCAGUGAUCUGCCUGUCACGACGCAUGGGGGCACCAACUUGAGACUGAAGUUUGUGAUGAAAGUAAAGCUUUUUUGCUGUGAGUCUAGUUACUAGGCAGUGUAGUUAGCUGAUUGCUAAUAAUACCAAUCACUAACCACACGGCCAGGUAAAAAGAUUUGGGAAUUCAUCCAGAUGAGCUGCGUGUGCACACCAGUGGGUUUGGGGGCAAGAAGGGGAUUGGAAUACCCUAAUAGUACGCAUUGCCUGUUUAUCCAUAGCUCAGCCAAGAGAGAAAUCAGCAUUUUAGCUGCUAAAUAUACAACAUAUGUAGUAAAUAUACAUUUUUAACAUAUAAUUUUUCAAUAUUCCUUCAGGCGCUUAACCAAAAAAAUUUUCAGAUAUAUUGAGGAAUAGAGGUUUUCUCUCUUAGCUCAUUUAUGUCAUUGUGUAAACUUGUGAUUAUUUUGAACUAUCUGUAAGACUGUAUUACUAUUUUGAAAGAAUAAAGUGCCCUAAAGUCAU